rnacentral:lncRNA from 1 species
GACGCGUCGGGACCCGCCGGGGCUGGAUGCGCGGGGAAUCGGGUGCUGGACACACCGGGAAACACCAGCAGCCGGGCACCGGGAACGCAGGGAACCGGGUGCUACCGGGGCUGGAUGUGCCGGGAGCCGGAUGCACCGGGAAGCGCCAGCAGCUGGGCACCAGACACGUAGGGAAUGGGGCACCGCCAGGGCUGGGCACGCUGGGAACCACCAGCCUCGCCGGAUGCACCAGGAGCUGCCAUCUUCGCCGGAUGCACCGGGAGCCGCUGGGACCCGCCGGGGCUGGAUGUGUGAGGAACCAGGUGCUGGACACACCGGGAAGCGCCAGCAGCCGGAUGCACCGGGAGGCRCCGGGAAGCCUCCGGGCACCACGGUCCUCACCGGAUGCACCAGGAGCCGCCGUCCUCACCGGAGCUGCUGGGAGCUGCUGGGAGGCGCCUGGAGCCGCUGGGCACCAUCGUCCUCACCGGAGGCGCCGGGAAGCCUCUGGGCACCAUCGUCCUCACCGGAGGCGCCGGGAAGCCUCUGGGCACCAUCGUCCUCACCGGAAACGCCGGGAAGGCUGCGGGCAGCACGGUGCUGCCGGAAGGAAGCGCCGGGAAGGCGGCUGCUCAGGGGGCGCCGAGGGCGUCGAGCAGCAGGCGGCGGCCCUCCUCGUAGUCGUCCUCGUCGACGUUGACGAGGAGCCGGAUGGCCUCGCGGCCCACGGCCUCCUUGAGCGAGUCCGUGAGGAAGACGCCCUUGAGGGCCUCCAGCAGGGAGCCGUUGAGGUAGUCGCUCCAGAAGGCGUCGAGGUAGGAGAGCUCCGAGAACUUGAUGUCGCAGAUGAUGGAGCCCAGGUCGCGCGACUUCAGCACCGUGCUCGCCUGGCCGAAGAGGUCGAGCUGCCGCGCCAGGCGCUGCGCCCGGUUCGACGCCACGUUCUGCCGCAGCGCCGCCUCGUGCUCGCAGUACUCGGCCCGCACGCGCAGCCGGAUGUCUGGGAACGGCGGCGGCAGCGGGAAGAGCGGGACGGAGAGGGAAAGGGGGGAGACAGAGAGAAACAGCGGCGUUAAGGAG